rnacentral:misc_RNA from 1 species
CUCUAUAUAUAUAUGUAAAAACCCUGGUCAUUUAUAAGCAACAAUCCUCUCCUCUCGUUGCUUGAUGCGGCCUCACAAAACCGGGAACCAAAAGACAGUAAGCAAAACUAAACCGAAGAAACAAGUUGAACACUUUGGAGACCUACCGGAACUCGAAACGGAAGCAUUUUCGUGUUCUUACUUCUUAGCUUAUGGUGUCGGUGAACCCCAACCCGGCUCAGGGUUUUUACUUCUUGGAUCCCAUGAGUAUGGGUCUUCCUGGCCUCAAUUCUCUGCCGCCGCAGAUGAAUUCGACUGCUCCUACUACUACAACUACUAAUACUGUCACCACUG